UAGGUUUAUUCGUUAGUUUUCCUAAUCAAUGACAAAGAAAUGUGGCCGUGAAUGCUCCGGUUUUGGCCUUGAAGCCAGACAAAGAACAAGACGACGAAAAAUUUAGUUUAUAAUGGCUUACGCAGCAAAAAUGGGAUUUUGUAUUAAUUUUAGACACUAAUAAAUCCUAGACCGGAUGAUCGUGUCCGCAUAUACGAGAGUCGGUAAAUGGACAUCAUCUAAAAUUAGAAACCCAUGUUACGUAGACGUCUUAGUUGAAAACGCUCGUGAACUAAGGGCGAACGGAGCUUCUCUCCUCCAGCCGCGUUUCGUCACAGUCAGUGCACUCAUUAGUCGAUACCGGUUGCAGCAUCUGUUCCUCGUCUUUAAAAGCUAAAAUUAGAGUAGAUUGCAUUUCGGCAUUAUUACCUGUUCGUCGGGCACGUCAUGACAAAGCGGCAGGACUUGUCGAUUGAUUUCCCAAACACGAGAUUGUAGAUAUCGCUUGAAACCGACUUCUUUGUCAAUUGAACUUUCGAGUCGAUUUAAACACAAAGGUAGACCAUUGUUUUGCACUAUCUUCAAUUUAGGGCUUUUAAAGCUAUGAUCGAUUUCAGAUAUUACGGCCUUUAAAAAAAAGUAUCAAAGAUAAGAAUGAUUAUUCAUAUUCAACUCAGUUGUAUUUAAACUUUAAAACGUGAAAGUGUGAGUUUCUCUGACGACGAGCAGCAGGUAUGCGCUUGACAGAGGAUUUACAAAAUCCUUUAUUCGGCCCGGCUAUCUAAACACAAACGAGAUUUUUGACACACUCGACAUAUUUGUCGUGGGUUUUAGUUACCUGCGUUUUCCUAGGUAAUUGUUUACGCAAAAGAAAGAAAAUGGUGUAACUAUUUUCAGGUUAAUCUCCUUCAGCUCGGCAGAGAAGGAUCCAAAUGCGCAGUAACUACAACCCACGAAAAUCAUGUCGGAUAUGUCAAGGAUCGUUUGCUCAAAAAACUUGGCCAAAAAAGAAACUAAACCCCGUAUACUUUUGUUACUUGUUCAGAGAAUCAGAGUCAGUUAAAGUCUAG
rnacentral:lncRNA from 13 species